CGGGGCAUCGCGCGGAUGCCGAGCACCGAGCUGACCAACUCCUCGGCGCAUAAAACGCACUAGGCCACGCUCCCUUCGUUCUUGACCUGACGCGUGUACUCAAAGGGAGAAGGUCGUGAGAGAGGGGGGGUGAGUAACGGAGUCCGCCGUGACCAACCGGGCGAGUCGUCGUUCCUGUCGCCAUUCAUCGCGCUCGGAGCCAAAUUGGACCACUGUGUGCGACCGGACGACUCCAUCCGCGUUCUGGAUCACUUCAGUGGCGUGGGCGAGAAUUGUGUGUGACUCGGGCGCACCCAAUUCAUUGCUGUCGAACCGCGCCGCCAUCGAUCCGUGCUUCGCCGGAGCCUGGGGCCACUGCACUGCGAGUUCCGGUACGAACCGCACGUCUAUGUUCACUUUCAUCCCCGCCAUGUGUAGCAUCGUUCCAUACCGAUAAUCGAGUGUCUGGGUGAGCGUAUUUGGGCAUCGCCAUCGAUGUCCCGUCGCGGCGCACUUGGGCUGGGGGCGAGUACUUAGGCCCUAGAGUUCUCGAGGAAAACCAUUCCCAUAUCUUUGCUCCCUCGGUACCGUUGUUUAGGACCGAUCGGAUUAGAGUUUGGGGCCGGAGUGGCGUGCAGCAGCUUCUCCGGCCAUGGCGCCACCGCAUGCGGGGUGCUCUGCCGUGCUUGUUCGCCGGGGGGAAAUAGAGAUAGAGAACGGUGCGUUCAGUGCCGUCAAUCUCAGGGUUAGCGGUUCCGAUCUGACCAGGCGUACCGCUUCGGAUAGGACUAAUAGGAGUCCUUAGAUGUUGAUCGGACGGAUUCGACUGACCGCGCCUGUUUAAAAUCCUCGUCGUUGGUUUGAGAUCCAUCAGCCACCAAUGCGUACCACUUCGGUAUAGUGUAGGUUUAAUCUGUACCGCCUGAUUCUAAUCCAACGACCGAGAUCAAAUCAUACCUCUUCGCCGAGCCGGUUUUGCAAACGCGUCCUCGGACUUUUAGUGAAUCAACUCGCGGUCCAGCGCGGAUAGUUCUUCUGUGUCUUAGGAAAUAUUGCGUCGAGCCCCCUGUGUUUCCCUAUUUUAGUGCGCGUAGUCCAGAGUCCAUUUAAAUUGGAUAAAUGAAUUAGAAAAUGAAUAUUUAACAUGAAAAUAUUUGCUAGAACUUGUAUAAAUCAUAGAAAAUUCAUGUGACCUCCAAAUUGAUCCAUUCCAGUUUCUAAAAUUUUGUAAUAUUAUUGAUUAUCACCUAGAGUCUCUGUUUUGACAUGAAAACAAUAGUAAAAUUAAUUUCUCACUUAAUCAUAUUUCAAGCACAUAAAAUCUUUGGAAAUUCAUAACUUAAAAUCCAUAACUCCAAAAUUAAUGAUUCAUGUUCCUAUGAUCUUAUUUUAUUGUGUAUAAUAUUAUUAUGUAUUUUGUUUACAUGUUUGGUGUGAUGUUAAUUUUCUCUAUGUGUUGUCUUUAUUUGUAUUGUGGCGAGUAGAAGAGCCUGUGACUGAGGAUCCUGGUGGCCAGCAGAUAGAAGUUGCUGAGCAGGAGCUCAUUGAAGGCAAGUUGUGCCCUUGACCACUUUUUACCCAAUAAUGUUCUUUAAUAUCACUUAUUCAUGCAUAGAUUUAAUUUUGAUGGGACCCAAUAGGUCACCCUAGUCUGUUUAUCCAUUUUACCUUGUUUACCCUUGAAUCAUUUGGGUAGUUAUGCUAUUUCUUUACAUGGUUUUGGGUUAAUAUUUCAUUGUAUCCAUGUUCCGAUUAUUCUGUUAUUUAUUUAUGUUCAUGUCAAGAUCAUUAUCUUUAAUUAGAACAUGGAGCUUAACUUGAGAAACACGUGCCACCACAAGGGAGGAAUGGGACCCCUUGGCUAACUAAUUAGGAAAGCUAGUGGAAGACUACCUUACCCGAAAGGGGCAAGGGUAGUAGGGGAGUUGCAUGCAGGAAGGUUCUCGGGUUGAUUUUGCUGCGAUGGCGGUCAGACGAGGGAUUCUUGCAAGUGCUCUUCCCAUAAACUGUAGCGGUUUUUCGGAAGCUAGUGGCACUUUGUAAAGGCCUUGUAGUGUUGUACUGCCUCGCUUCCUUGGUAGAGGUGUAUGGGAGUCACGAUCCCUUGGCAGAUGGGUAACAUGACUUGUGGGUAUAGGGUACAACCUCUACAGAGUGUAAAACUAGUAUACUAGCCGAGCUCACGGUCAUGAGAAGCUCAAGACUCUCGCAUGAUUAAUUUAUGGAACUUAAGUUCAAUUUGUCAUAUGCAUUGCAUGAGAUUAUUUAUUAAUUUUGUUCUAUUACUUUUAUUAUGGUUUGGUAUUCACUUACAUUUAGUAACUGCUAAUAAAAUUUGACCAACUUACUAAAAGCAAUGCUCAGCUUUAACCCCUAUUGUUGAUUAGCCUUACACAUCACAUGAACUCCCACCUUUGGUGAGUUCAUGCACACUGGUUUUCCCACAACUUGUUGAGCUAUGAUCAUGUGUGAGCUCACCCUUGCUGUCUCGCACCCCCCACAAGAGAAGAACAGGUGAUUCAAGAGGAGUCACACGAGGAGUUUGAUCUGAUCUAGGUGGCGUUUCCGAGUUGACUUAUUGGCGCCAAGGAUGGAUUUAGUUUGUUUUAUAUUUAUAUUUUAUUUUUGUAAGACUUCCGCUAUGUAAUAAGUACUCUGAUGUUAUUGUGACAUUUAUCUCUAUACACUCUGUUAUUAUAUAUGUUGUC
rnacentral:lncRNA from 1 species